AGGAUCAUUCGCAAUGGGGGAAACCCUGACGGAGCGACGCCGCGUGGACGAUGAAGGCCGGAAGGUUGUAAAGUCCUUUAGUCUGUGAGGAAUAACGCCGGAGGGAAUGCCGGCGGAUGACUGUAGCAGAAGAAUAAGCACCGGCUAAUUACGUGCCAGCAGCCGCGGUAACACGUAAGGUGCGAGCGUUGUUCGGAAUUAUUGGGCGUAAAGGGCACGCAGGUGGUUCGGCAAGCUUGGUGUGAAAUCCCGGGGCUUAACCCCGGAACUGCAUUGAGAACUGCUGGACUAGAGUCAGCGAGGGGCAGCCGGAAUUCCAGGUGUAGGGGUGAAAUCUGUAGAUAUCUGGAAGAACACCAAUGGCGAAGGCAGGCUGCCAGCGCAUGACUGACGCUCAGGUUCGAAGGUGCGGGGAGCAAACA
rnacentral:rRNA from 1 species